ensembl:snRNA U2 U2 spliceosomal RNA
GUCACUUCUCUGUGAUUUGCCUAAAAACAGAAAUAGUGCCUGUUUUUACCAGUUUACUAUCUGAUAUGUCCUCUGUCCAAAGAUAAUAUAAUAAGUUGAUUUUGGGAAAUAGGAGGUAAAACAGGAGUGCUCUGUAUACUACAUGAAUUGGCCUGUUAUUGCAGUAGCUCCUGGAACGGCGUACUCUCC